GAUGAACGCUGGCGGCGUGCCUAAUACAUGCAAGUCGAGCGAACGGACGCGAAGCUUGCUUUUCUGAUGUUAGCGGCGGACGGGUGAGUAACACGUGGAUAACCUACCUAUAAGACUGGGAUAACUUCGGGAAACCGGAGCUAAUACCGGAUAAUAUUUUGAACCGCAUGGUUCAAAAGUGAAAGACGGUCUUGCUGUCACUUAUAGAUGGAUCCGCGCUGCAUUAGCUAGUUGGUAAGGUCACGGGUUAUCAAGGCAACGAUGCAUAGACGACGUGCGAGGGUGAUCGGCCACACGGGAGCGUAGCCACGGUCCAGACUCCUACGGGAGGCAGCAGUAGGGAAUCUUCCGCAAUGGGCGGAAGCCUGACGGAGCAACGCCGCGUGAGUGAUGAAGGUCUUCGGAUCGUAAAACUCUGUUAUUAGGGAAGAACAUAUGUGUAAUUAACUGUGCACAUCUUGACGGUAACUAAUCAGAAAGCCACGGCUAACUACGUG
rnacentral:rRNA from 1 species